rnacentral:rRNA from 1 species
CAGCCGCCACGGGAAUACGUAGGGUGCAAGCGUUAAUCGGAAUUACUGGGCGUAAAGCGUGCGCAGGCGGUUCGCUAAGACAGAUGUGAAAUCCCCGGGCUUAACCUGGGAACUGCAUUUGUGACUGGCGGGCUAGAGUAUGGCAGAGGGGGGUAGAAUUCCACGUGUAGCAGUGAAAUGCGUAGAGAUGUGGAGGAAUACCGAUGGCGAAGGCAGCCCCCUGGGCCAAUACUGACGCUCAUGCACGAAAGCGUGGGGAGCAAACAGGAUUAGAGACCCCUGUAGUCCCUGUCUCUUAUAC